rnacentral:rRNA from 1 species
AGUUUGAUCCUGGCUCAGAUUGAACGCUGGCGGCAUGCCUUACACAUGCAAGUCGAACGGCAGCACGGGGGCAACCCUGGUGGCGAGUGGCGAACGGGUGAGUAAUACAUCGGAACGUGUCCUGUAGUGGGGGAUAGCCCGGCGAAAGCCGGAUUAAUACCGCAUACGCUCUACGGAGGAAAGGGGGGGAUCUUAGGACCUCCCGCUACAGGGGCGGCCGAUGGCAGAUUAGCUAGUUGGUGGGGUAAAGGCCUACCAAGGCGACGAUCUGUAGCUGGUCUGAGAGGACGACCAGCCACACUGGGACUGAGACACGGCCCAGACUCCUACGGGAGGCAGCAGUGGGGAAUUUUGGACAAUGGGCGAAAGCCUGAUCCAGCAAUGCCGCGUGUGUGAAGAAGGCCUUCGGGUUGUAAAGCACUUUUGUCCGGAAAGAAAACGCCGUGGUUAAUACCCGUGGCGGAUGACGGUACCGGAAGAAUAAGCACCGGCUAACUACGUGCCAGCAGCCGCGGUAAUACGUAGGGUGCAAGCGUUAAUCGGAAUUACUGGGCGUAAAGCGUGCGCAGGCGGUCCGCUAAGACAGAUGUGAAAUCCCCGGGCUUAACCUGGGAACUGCAUUUGUGACUGGCGGGCUAGAGUAUGGCAGAGGGGGGUAGAAUUCCACGUGUAGCAGUGAAAUGCGUAGAGAUGUGGAGGAAUACCGAUGGCGAAGGCAGCCCCCUGGGCCAAUACUGACGCUCAUGCACGAAAGCGUGGGGAGCAAACAGGAUUAGAUACCCUGGUAGUCCACGCCCUAAACGAUGUCAACUAGUUGUCGGGUCUUCAUUGACUUGGUAACGUAGCUAACGCGUGAAGUUGACCGCCUGGGGAGUACGGUCGCAAGAUUAAAACUCAAAGGAAUUGACGG